rnacentral:rRNA from 1 species
UAACACGUAUCCAACCUGCCGUCUACUCUUGGACAGCCUUCUGAAAGGAAGAUUAAUACAAGAUGGCAUCAUGAGUCCGCAUGUUCACAUGAUUAAAGGUAUUCCGGUAGACGAUGGGGAUGCGUUCCAUUAGAUAGUAGGCGGGGUAACGGCCCACCUAGUCUUCGAUGGAUAGGGGUUCUGAGAGGAAGGUCCCCCACAUUGGAACUGAGACACGGUCCAAACUCCUACGGGAGGCAGCAGUGAGGAAUAUUGGUCAAUGGGCGAGAGCCUGAACCAGCCAAGUAGCGUGAAGGAUGACUGCCCUAUGGGUUGUAAACUUCUUUUAUAAAGGAAUAAAGUCGGGUAUGGAUACCCGUUUGCAUGUACUUUAUGAAUAAGGAUCGGCUAACUCCGUGCCAGCAGCCGCGGUAAUACGGAGGAUCCGAGCGUUAUCCGGAUUUAUUGGGUUUAAAGGGAGCGUAGAUGGAUGUUUAAGUCAGUUGUGAAAGUUUGCGGCUCGACCGUAAAAUUGCAGUUGAUACUGGAUAUCUUGAGUGCAGUUGAGGCAGGCGGAAUUCGUGGUGUAGCGGUGAAAUGCUUAGAUAUCACGAAGAACUCCGAUUGCGAAGGCAGCCUGCUAAGCUGCAACUGACAUUGAGGCUCGAAAGUGUGGGUAUCAAACAGGAUUAGAUACCCUGGUAGUCCACACGGUAAACGAUGAAUACUCGCUGU